rnacentral:rRNA from 1 species
UACGUAUGGAGCAAGCGUUAUCCGGAUUUACUGGGUGUAAAGGGAGCGCAGGCGGCUUUGCAAGUCUGAUGUGAAAGGCCGGGGCUCAACCCCGGGACUGCAUUGGAAACUGUAAAGCUAGAGUGCCGGAGAGGUAAGCGGAAUUCCUAGUGUAGCGGUGAAAUGCGUAGAUAUUAGGAGGAACACCAGUGGCGAAGGCGGCUUACUGGACGGCAACUGACGCUGAGGCCCGAAAGCGUGGGGAGCAAACAGG